rnacentral:tRNA from 1 species
GUAGAUAUAGUUUAACAAAAACGCUAGAUUGUGAUUCUAGAGACAGAGGUUAGACCCCUCUUAUCCACC